AUAUGCAUCCCUUGCACAACAGUCCUUCAUUUUUAAAGCUUAUUGAUGAAGAUGACCCGAUAUUUUUGGUGAAGAGCUUCUUUCAGACUCCUUCCCCUACAAGGAACUAUUGAAUGGGUUCCUAUGAGAAGUUGAAGAAAAGUUAUGGAUAAUGAAAACAACGCUGCUUCGUUAUUAAAGUCGAUUGAGGACUAUGAUCCUAUAUUUUUCGAAUUGUUCGUCGACCAAAAACAGGUGUUUAUUUUGGAUGGUCCGGAGUUUUUGGCUGCAACUAUGUUGGACAGAGAUAUGCAUGCUAUUGCUGUAAAUUGGUACCAUGUCC